ensembl:snRNA U6 U6 spliceosomal RNA
GUUCCUUUGGGCAGCACAUAGAACUGGAACAACACAGAGAAGAUUAGCUUGGCUGCUGCACAGGAUAACGGAUGGAUUCAUGAAGCAUCCCAUACUUUU